rnacentral:rRNA from 1 species
GACGAACGCUGGCGGCGUGCUUAACACAUGCAAGUCGAACGAAGUGGCGAACGGGUGAGUAACGCGUAAUCACCCUGCCCUUCAGAGGGGGACAACAGUUGGAACCGACUGCUAAUACCGCAUACUGAAGGGGGGGAUUUCGUCUGAUUAGCUAGUUGGAGGGGUAACGGCCCACCAAGGCGAUGAUCAGUAGACGGUCUGAGAGGAUGAACGGCCAAAUUGUGACUGGGACACGGCCCAGACUCCUACGGGAGGCAGCAGUGGGGAAGCUUCCGCAAUGGACGAAAGUCUGACGGAGCAACGCCGCGUGAGUGAUGACGGCCUUCGGGUUGUAAAGCUCUGUUAAUCGGGACGCGGUACCGGAAUAGAAAGCCACGGCUAACUACGUGCCAGCCGCCGCGGUAAUAC